AAUUUAAUUUGCUCCCAUGUGAAUUUAUCACCCAUCUGGGCAAGGUAGUGCUAUUAUUUUAUAUACAUUAGUUUUAUUCUUAUCGGUUUUAUAUAACCAACAUGAAUUUAAUUCCUUUACAAGCAAGUUGAUAUAAUUGUUACUCAAUACAAUUUUUCUUCAAACAGUAGAAACCUUUUUGUCAUUUUGAAAUUAUUGGACCAGUAUUUUAUUCUUAUUGGUUUUCUUUUUUUGCAGCUUGUAAACUUCCUCGCACCCCUAAUGUGAAUGACAUAAUGAAGAAUUAUUUUGAUUACAGAUUGAAGAAAUGUAGCUCUUCCUAGUUGACAAGGACAAACACUUGUCAUAUCUCAUCCAUGGGUAUUUAGAGGAAGUGCCUUGUAUUAACUCCAUCUUGUGAAGGCAAAGAAAGCUAGAAGAUACAUUCCAAAAGAAUUCAAAUAGGUCCAAUAUCAAAUAGGUCCAAUAUUGCUAGUAUUGGAAUGGAUAACUUGAAUGCUUAAUGCACAAAGUGGAGCAGUUUUAGGUUGAUUAUGAUCUUUUACUAAGUAUUUAAGUUGAUGAUCAUCGUUAUUAGUGUAAUUUGAUAUAUUAUGAGCAGUUUUAACUUGUAUUGUUUCUGUAUUUUUCUUCGGUUUUUAGUUUUGGAUUUUGAACUCAAGAUUUAUUUUG